GUAGGUGCAAGCGUUGUCCGGAAUUAUUGGGCGUAAAGCGCGCGCAGGUGGUUCUUUAAGUCUGAUGUGAAAGCCCCCCGGGCUCAACCGGGGGAGGGGUCAUUGGGAAACUGGGGGAACUUGAGUGCAGGAGAGGAAAGUGGAAUUCCACGUGUAGCGGUGAAAUGCGUAGAUAUGUGGAGGAACACCAGUGGCGAAGGCGACUUUCUGGCCUGUAACUGACACUGAGGCGCGAAAGCGUGGGGAGCAAACAGGAUUAGAUACCCUGGUAGUCCACGCCGUAAACGAUGAGUGCUAAGUGUUGGGGGGUUUCCGCCCCUCAGUGCUGCAGCUAACGCAUUAAGCACUCCGCCUGGGGAGUACGGUCGCAAAGACUG
rnacentral:rRNA from 1 species